GACGAACGCUGGCGGCGCGCCUAACACAUGCAAGUCGAACGAGCGAGAGAGAGCUUGCUUUCUCAAGCGAGUGGCGAACGGGUGAGUAACGCGUGAGGAACCUGCCUCAAAGAGGGGGACAACAGUUGGAAACGACUGCUAAUACCGCAUAAGCCCACGGGUCGGCAUCGACCAGAGGGAAAAGGAGCAAUCCGCUUUGAGAUGGCCUCGCGUCCGAUUAGCUAGUUGGUGAGGUAAUGGCCCACCAAGGCGACGAUCGGUAGCCGGACUGAGAGGUUGAACGGCCACAUUGGGACUGAGACACGGCCCAGACUCCUACGGGAGGCAGCAGUGGGGAAUAUUGCACAAUGGGGGAAACCCUGAUGCAGCGACGCCGCGUGGAGGAAGAAGGUCUUCGGGAUUGUAAACUCCUGUUGUUGAGGAAGAUAAUGACGGUACUCAACAAGGAAGUGACGGCUAACUACGUG
rnacentral:rRNA from 1 species